rnacentral:rRNA from 1 species
UACAGAGGGUGCGAGCGUUGUCCGGAAUCACUGGGCGUAAAGGGCGCGUAGGCGGUCUCUUAAGCGUGUGGUGAAAGCCCGGGGCUCAACUCCGGGUCGGCCGUGCGAACUGGGGGACUGGAGCUUGUCAGAGGCAGGCGGAAUUCCGGGUGUAGCGGUGGAAUGCGUAGAGAUCCGGAAGAACACCGGUGGCGAAGGCGGCCUGCUGGGACAGUGCUGACGCUGAGGCGCGACAGCGUGGGGAGCAACAGG